CCUACGGGAGGCUGCAGUGAGGAAUAUUGGUCAAUGGGCGAGAGCCUGAACCAGCCAAGUCGCGUGAGGGAAGACGGUCCUAUGGAUUGUAAACCUCUUUUGCCGGGGAGCAAAACGCGGUACGUGUACCGCAUCGAGAGUACCCGGAGAAAAAGCAUCGGCUAACUCCGUGCCAGCAGCCGCGGUAAUACGGAGGAUGCGAGCGUUAUCCGGAUUUAUUGGGUUUAAAGGGUGCGCAGGCGGCGAGUUAAGUCAGCGGUAAAAUUUCGGGGCUCAACCCCGACAAGCCGUUGAAACUGGCGUGCUAGAGUGGGCGAGAAGUAGGCGGAAUGCGUGGUGUAGCGGUGAAAUGCAUAGAUAUCACGCAGAACUCCGAUUGCGAAGGCAGCAUACCGGCGCCCAACUGACGCUCAGGCACGAAAGCGUGGGUAUCGAACAGGAUUAGAUACCCCAGUAGUC
rnacentral:rRNA from 1 species